rnacentral:tRNA from 1 species
UGGGGUAUAGCUCAGUAGUAGAGCACUUGCCUAGCAUGUGCAGGGCCCUGGGUUCCAUCCCCAGCACCACAA